rnacentral:sRNA from 1 species
AAUAUGAAUUAAAUUAUUACUUAAAUGGGUUAACCCAUUUAACAACUCAACCCAUUUUGUAAAUGAGUUGGGUACAAAAUGAGUUGGGUCAACCCAUAACUCAUUUAACCUUAAACUCAUUUGAUUAUGAGUUGAGUUGAGUUGGGUUACCCAUUUUAACAUCCCUAGUAUACAACUUGGUUUUAAAGUUACUCAUAAACAUGAUCGUGACACAUGUCAAAUGUUU